rnacentral:rRNA from 1 species
AAUAUUUGACUAUGGGGGCCACGCUGAUCCAGCCAUGCCGCGUGUGUGAAGAAGGUCUUCGGAUUGUAACGCCCUCUACGUUGGGAGGAAGGGCUUGAGGUGAAUCCCCGUAAGCUGCGACGGUACCAACCGAAUAACCACCGGCUAACUCUGUCCCAGCAGCCGCGGUAAUACAGCGGGUGCCAGCGUUAAUCGGAAUUACUGGGCGCAAAGCGGGCGUAGGUGGUUCAGUAAGAUGGGUGGGAAAUCCGCGGGCUUAACCUGGGAACUGCUUUCAUAGCUGCGGAGCUAGAGUAGGGUGGAGGGUAGUGGAGUUUCCUGUGUAGCGGUGGAAUGCGUAGAUAUAGGAAGGAACACCAGUGGCGAAGGCGACUACCUGGACUGAUGCUGAGACAGAGGUGCGAAAGCGUGGGGAGCAAA